rnacentral:rRNA from 1 species
CGUAGGGUGCGAGCGUUAAUCGGAAUUACUGGGCGUAAAGCGUGCGCAGGCGGUUUUGUAAGACAGGUGUGAAAUCCCCGGGCUUGACCUGGGAACUGCGCUUGUGACUGCAAGACUCGAGUACGGCAGAGGGGGGUAGAAUUCCACGUGUAGCAGUGAAAUGCGUAGAGAUGUGGAGGAAUACCGAUGGCGAAGGCAGCCCCCUGGGUCGAUACUGACGCUCAUGCACGAAAGCGUGGGGAGCAAACAGGAUUAGAUACCCUGGUAGUCCACGCCCUAAACGAUGCGAACUAGGUGUUGGGGAAGGAGACUUCCUUAGUACCGCAGCUAACGCGUGAAGUUCGCCGCCUGGGGAGUACGGUCGCAAGAUUA